UAACCUGCCCUUAACUCUGGGAUAAGCCUGGGAAACUGGGUCUAAUACCGGAUAUGACUCCUCAUCGCAUGGUGGGGGGUGGAAAGCUUUUUUGUGGUUUUGGAUGGACUCGCGGCCUAUCAGCUUGUUGGUGAGGUAAUGGCUCACCAAGGCGACGACGGGUAGCCGGCCUGAGAGGGUGACCGGCCACACUGGGACUGAGACACGGCCCAGACUCCUACGGGAGGCAGCAGUGGGGAAUAUUGCACAAUGGGCGCAAGCCUGAUGCAGCGACGCCGCGUGAGGGAUGACGGCCUUCGGGUUGUAAACCUCUUUCAGUAGGGAAGAAGCGAAAGUGACGGUACCUGCAGAAGAAGCGCCGGCUAACUACGUGCCAGCAGCCGCGGUAAUACGUAGGGCGCAAGCGUUAUCCGGAAUUAUUGGGCGUAAAGAGCUCGUAGGCGGUUUGUCGCGUCUGCCGUGAAAGUCCGGGGCUCAACUCCGGAUCUGCGGUGGGUACGGGCAGACUAGAGUGAUGUAGGGGAGACUGGAAUUCCUGGUGUAGCGGUGAAAUGCGCAGAUAUCAGGAGGAACACCGAUGGCGAAGGCAGGUCUCUGGGCAUUAACUGACGCUGAGGAGCGAAAGCAUGGGGAGC
rnacentral:rRNA from 1 species